rnacentral:rRNA from 1 species
GACGAACGCUGGCGGCGUGCUUAACACAUGCCAGUCGAACGGAAAGGCCCUUCGGGGUCCUCGAGUGGCGAACGGGUGAGUAACACGUGGGUGAUCUGCCCUGCACUUUGGGAUAAGCCUGGGAAACUGGGUCUAAUACCGAAUAGGACCACGCGCUUCAUGGUGUGUGGUGGAAAGCUUUUGCGGUGUGGGAUGGGCCCGCGGCCUAUCAGCUUGUUGGUGGGGUAAUGGCCUACCAAGGCGACGACGGGUAGCCGGCCUGAGAGGGUGACCGGCCACACUGGGACUGAGAUACGGCCCAGACUCCUACGGGAGGCAGCAGUGGGGAAUAUUGCACAAUGGGCGCAAGCCUGAUGCAGCGACGCCGCGUGAGGGAUGACGGCCUUCGGGUUGUAAACCUCUUUCAAUAGGGACGAGGCGCAAGUGACGGUACCUAUAGAAGAAGCACCGGCCAACUACGUG